rnacentral:rRNA from 1 species
GACGAACGCUGGCGGCGUGCUUAACACAUGCAAGUCGAACGGAAAGGCCCUGCUUUUGUGGGGUGCUCGAGUGGCGAACGGGUGAGUAACACGUGAGUAACCUGCCCUUGACUUUGGGAUAACUUCAGGAAACUGGGGCUAAUACCGGAUAGGAGCUCCUGCUGCAUGGUGGGGGUUGGAAAGUUUCGGCGGUUGGGGAUGGACUCGCGGCUUAUCAGCUUGUUGGUGGGGUAGUGGCUUACCAAGGCUUUGACGGGUAGCCGGCCUGAGAGGGUGACCGGCCACAUUGGGACUGAGAUACGGCCCAGACUCCUACGGGAGGCAGCAGUGGGGAAUAUUGCACAAUGGGCGGAAGCCUGAUGCAGCAACGCCGCGUGCGGGAUGACGGCCUUCGGGUUGUAAACCGCUUUCGCCUGUGACGAAGCGUGAGUGACGGUAAUGGGUAAAGAAGCACCGGCUAACUACGUGCCAGCAGCCGCGGUGAUACGUAGGGUGCGAGCGUUGUCCGGAUUUAUUGGGCGUAAAGGGCUCGUAGGUGGUUGAUCGCGUCGGAAGUGUAAUCUUGGGGCUUAACCCUGAGCGUGCUUUCGAUACGGGUUGACUUGAGGAAGGUAGGGGAGAAUGGAAUUCCUGGUGGAGCGGUGGAAUGCGCAGAUAUCAGGAGGAACACCAGUGGCGAAGGCGGUUCUCUGGGCCUUUCCUGACGCUGAGGAGCGAAUGCGUGGGGAGCGAACAGGCUUAGAUACCCUGGUAGUCCACGCUGUAAACGGUGGGUACUAGGUGUGGGGUCCAUUCCACGGGUUCCGUGCCGUAGCUAACGCUUUAAGUACCCCGCCUGGGGAGUACGGCCGCAAGGCUAAAACUCAAAGGAAUUGACGGGGCCCCGCACAAGCGGCGGAGCAUGCGGAUUAAUUCGAUGCAACGCGUAGAACCUUACCUGGGUUUGACAUGGAUCGGGAGUGCUCAGAGAUGGGUGUGCCUCUUUUGGGGUCGGUUCACAGGUGGUGCAUGGCUGUCGUCAGCUCGUGUCGUGAGAUGUUGGGUUAAGUCCCGCAACGAGCGCAACCCUUGUUCACUGUUGCCAGCACGUUAUGGUGGGGACUCAGUGGAGACCGCCGGGGUCAACUCGGAGGAAGGUGGGGAUGACGUCAAGUCAUCAUGCCCCUUAUGUCCAGGGCUUCACGCAUGCUACAAUGGCUGGUACAGAGAGUGGCGAGCCUGUGAGGGUGAGCGAAUCUCGGAAAGCCGGUCUCAGUUCAGAUUGGGGUCUGCAACUCGACCUCAUGAAGUCGGAGUCGCUAGUAAUCGCAGAUCAGCAACGCUGCGGUGAAUACGUUCCCGGG